rnacentral:rRNA from 1 species
AGGACGAACGCUGGCGGCGUGCUUAACACAUGCAAGUCGAGCGGAAAGGCCCUUCGGGGUACUCGAGCGGCGAACGGGUGAGUAACACGUGAGCAACCUGCCCUUAGCUCUGGGAUAGCUCCGGGAAACCGGAAUUAAUACCGGAUAUUACACCGGCUGGCAUCGGCUGGUGUGGAAAGAUUUAUCGGCUAAGGAUGGACUCGCGGCCUAUCAGCUUGUUGGUGGGUAGAAGCCUACAAGGCGACGACGGGUA